GUGGGGAAUCUUCCGCAAUGGACGAAAGUCUGACGGAGCGACGCCGCGUGAGUGAAGAAGGCCUUCGGGUCGUAAAGCUCUGUCAUCAGGGACGAACGGCCGGUGGAGUGGAAAGCCACCGGAUUGACGGUACCUGAGAAGGAAGCCACGGCUAACUACGUGCCAGCAGCCGCGGUAAUACGUAGGUGGCAAGCGUUGUCCGGAAUUAUUGGGCGUAAAGCGCGCGCAGGUGGGAUCUUAAGUCCAUUUUUAAAGUUCGGAGCUCAACUCCGUGAUGGGAUGGAAACUGGGAUUCGUGAGUACCGGAGAGGAAAGCGGAAUUCCCCGUGUAGCGGUGAAAUGCGUAGAUAUGGGGAGGAACACCAGUGGCGAAGGCGGCUUUCUGGACGGUGUCUGACACUGAGGCGCGAAAGCCAGGGGAGCGAACGGGAUUAUAUACCCGUGUAGUCC
rnacentral:rRNA from 1 species